AACGAACGCUGGCGGCAUGCCUAACACAUGCAAGUCGAACGAGACCUUCGGGUCUAGUGGCGCACGGGUGCGUAACGCGUGGGAACCUGCCCUUAGGUUCGGAAUAACUCCCCGAAAGGGGUGCUAAUACCGGAUAAUGUCUUCGGACCAAAGAUUUAUCGCCUUUGGAUGGGCCCGCGUUGGAUUAGCUAGUUGGUAGGGUAAAAGCCUACCAAGGCGACGAUCCAUAGCUGGUCUGAGAGGAUGAUCAGCCACACUGGGACUGAGACACGGCCCAGACCCCUGCGGGAGGCAGGAGGGGGGAAUGAUGGAAAAAGGGGAAAAGGUUAGACACAGAAUUGCCGCGGGAGGAAAAAGGCCGUAGGGGUAGAAAAUCUUUUUUCCCGGGAGGAAAAAGAAAAGACCGGGAAAAAAAGCCUCCGCCAACCCCCGUC
rnacentral:rRNA from 1 species